CCUGGUGUCUAUUGCGUAGUUGAACCACACUGAAACAUUCCCGAACUCAGUUGUGAAAGGCUAUUGCGGCGACGAUACUUGUCGGGUGACCGACUGUGAAAAUAGUUCGAUGCCAGGA
rnacentral:rRNA from 1 species